GGAUUUGCAGUCCUCUGCCUUACCACUUGGCCAUAUCGCCUUUUUUUUAUUAAAAUUUAAUAAA
rnacentral:tRNA from 1 species